CCUACGGGAGGCAGCAGUGGGGGAUAUUGCACAAUGGGGGGAACCCUGAUGCAGCGACGCCGCGUGGGUGAAGGAGUGCUUCGGCAUGUAAAGCCCUAUCGGCAGGGAAGAAGCAAGACGGUACCUGACUAAGAAGCCCCGGCUAACUACGUGCCAGCAGCCGCGGUAAUACGUAGGGGGCGAGCGUUAUCCGGAUCCACUGGGUGUAAAGGGAGCGUAGACGGCCAUGCAAGCCAGGGGUGAAAGCCCGGGGCCCAACCCCGGGACUGCCCUUGGAACUGUGCGGCUAGAGUGCGGGAGGGGCAGGCGGAAUUCCUGGUGUAGCGGUGAAAUGCGUAGAUAUCAGGAGGAACACCGGCGGCGAAGGCGGCCUGCUGGACUGCGACUGACGUUGAGGCUCGAAAGCGUGGGGAGCGAACAGGAUUAGAUACCCCUGUAGUC
rnacentral:rRNA from 1 species